ensembl:lncRNA
CCUGAUCACUCCCAAUUAACCCAACCACCUUCACCUGUGUUUCCCCUAUAUCAGUCCUCUCCUCCCAAACAUUCCCUGCCAGAUUGUCUCUUGUGUUUCACAGUGCUUUCCCGCGAUUCUACUCCUGACCUACCACCGCUCCUGUCUGCUCUCUGAUCCCUGCCUGUCUGACUAUUCCCCCGGUUCCUGAUCCCUGCCUGUCUGACUCUCCUUCUGGUUCCUGAUCCUCGCCUGUCUGACUCCCCUGCCGGUUCCUGAUCCCCGCCUGUCUGACUACCCCGUUGGUUCCUGAUCCCUGCCUGUCUGACUCUCCUGCCGGUUCCUGAUCCCUGCCUGUCUGACUCUCCUUCUGGUUCCUGAUCCUCGCCUGUCUGACUCCCCUGCCGGUUCCUGAUCCCCGCCUGUCUGACUACCCCGUUGGUUCCUGAUCCCUGCUUGUCUGACUACUCGCCUGUCUACGAAAUAAACUAUUGACUCUGUUCCACGCUCGUCGCCAGCCUGUGCACUUGGGUUCAGCCAAACGCGCACGUUACACUCUCACUAGACUUUCUCCAGAUCUCUUGGACUUCUAAGCAGGAGACACCAUCAUUCAGAACCUGCAGCAGACCGGUCCGCGGGGCUUCCACUGGAGGAGGAGAUCACAAGGCCUUUGGACGGGUGACAGCUGGGGUCCCAACCCUACCCGACAACCUCCAGAGUUAGGAGGAAUCUAUGAUAGGAGGGGAGAGGACAUGCGAGGAGUGGACCCGGAGUUGCCACGAUGCAGCCCAACAGGCGGUCUGUCUGAAACACUUCCUCUGGUCUCAGUCCCCUCACAUGAGGCCAAAGGCUGGUGGCUAUGAACCAGUCAGGAAGGAGGGGCCAGUCAUCCAACCAGAUCCUAUUAAAGUUCACAUUCAAGGCCUUUUCAGAGUGUCUGAUUCCAUUUGACCAGAGACAUGGGACUACAGCCCCAUGAUGUGUGUUGACUGGUCCAUGCAGAACCGUGAUAUUCUACUGCCACCUAGUGCUGACUACGAGAAGUGGCAGUAUAGGCAGUGAAUAACGCCUAACACUCGCCCAACUAUGGUCCUGCCGCUACGACGUCUUCUCUCUUUCGGACUUCUUUGGGAAGAUGAAUGAAAUUUGAGCAGGCGUCAGUUCAAUAACUUUCCACAGUUGACCAAGCUUCUCAGGAAGAAGACCCUGGCCUCGGGACCAGCGCGCACGGGGCAGCUGAGGGAGCCGCGCGGCGCACUCAAUCAAGACGCCGUGGCAGCAGCGCCAGCAGCAUGAGACCGCAGGACCACCCGUUCCUGCAGCUCCAGCAAACGGGGUUCGACAUGCUGGAGCGGGAGCUGGCCGGGAUGCGGCGAGACACCAACACUCGUCUGGACCGGGUGGCGAUGUUGCUGCGGCCUCUCGGGCGCAUCGCCUCAAGUUUGGACCGGAUUGCGACAGCUAAGGAAACGUGCAUGGCCCACAAACGACCCACCUCCUCCCCCUGUUGUGCCCCUUCCUCCCCCCAUUCCAUCUCCGUCAACCCGCUCCACCAGGAGCACAUCCAGCAUCAUCACUCCCGGACCCUCAUUUGUCGAAUCCCCCGAGGCAGGCGUAAAAGGCCUUACAGAGGAG